UUACUCGACGAAGUUUCAAAGCAGUAGGUGGCGGUAACGAGCUUCAGAAGAAGUUCCCGCCUGGUGAAGGCGCCGGCGGGAAUCGACUCUGAGGAAGACGCUGAUUGAAUCUGCAGGAAGUUGGAUCUGUGCUGUUAAUUUUUUGACGAUAAUCAUCACGGGUCUCAAAGUUAGGCACCAGCAUGAUUUGGCAGUAAGAUCUCACUACAUCGCCAAGCACCAGUGGACCACCAAGGGUGUUUAGUGUCUUUAGUGUUCUACUAAAAAAAACAGCAUCUGCAUACGUGGACCCUUUUCAAAAGUGAAUGUAUGAUUUGAGAUCCAUCUUUUCCCACUGAGGACAACUGAGGAACUCAUACAUAACUAUUAC